GAUGAACGCUAGCGGCAGGCCUAAUACAUGCAAGUCGAACGAUCGUUUUUAGUUUACUAAUAACGGAGUGGCGCACGGGUGCGUAACGCGUAUAGAAUCUGCCUCAUACUGAGGGAUAGCCUUUGGAAACGAAGAUUAAUACCUCAUAGUAUCAUUUAACGGCAUCGUUUAGUGAUUAAAGGUUACGGUAUGAGAUGACUAUGCGUCCUAUUAGUUAGUUGGUAAGGUAACGGCUUACCAAGACUACGAUAGGUAGGGGCCCUGAGAGGGGGAUCCCCCACACUGGUACUGAGACACGGACCAG
rnacentral:rRNA from 1 species